rnacentral:snoRNA from 13 species
CUCUGACGUGAUGAGUCAUCAUUACCGCCCCAGUCUGAUGUAAGGCUGACUGAUUGGUUACUCUCUGAUCAAGU